ensembl:lncRNA
CAUUAUACUAUGCAGUGCAUUUAGGUGUAAUUACAUAAUAACGUGUAGCUGCUGAUGUUCUCUUAGCAGCAUUAAUAGCAGUGUAUCUCUUGUCUGAUUUAUUGCAGCUGCCGGGAGUUUUAAUCUCAUAAUAUGCGAAACUUUGUUCAAAAUGUUUGUGUUUCUUUCAGUAGUGUUAUUAAAAAUGAGUUACUCAUCAUUGUGAUGAUGAAAUGAAUUCUCUUGGUGUCAUUGGUUCUUCAGUUCAAGCCCAGAAGCAUUUUGUUACUGAGUGGAACUAUUUUUUCCAGCUGUGAGGAAAAUUCCCAAAACCAGCUCGAGUGCCAUUUCCACUCACAUCUCUUUUUUUCUCUCUUCUCCAUUCUUCAUUGCUACCCACCAUCUUUCCUCUCUGUCUAGUUUUCAUGUACUUCAGAUGAAAUACAGAUAUUUGCCUCCUUCUCUUUCUCUAAACCCUUUGAACGUUUAGUCAUCCCGCUCUCGAUCUCUGAUAAGACUAAAUCCGCUUCCUGCGAGGUCCUGGAUGCUCUUAUACUCUCAUUUUAUAAAGGGUUUGGUCUUUUUUUUUUUUUUUUUUUAUAAUAGUGCCAUCUUUCAUUGUAUAAACAGGAAGGGCUGAGCUAAUUACCUCAGAAGAUUCCUCAUUCCCUAAGUGCCUGCGGCUUUCAUCUAGGAAAUCUGACCGGUUUUUACCAGUUAUGUUUCGAUGUUUUGAGAUUACAGGCCAAUUUCUUUCUGUAUGUUUAACUCAGUCGUCACCCAGCAAUGCAUCAUACAGACAUUUUAUUUUUAUGCUCCAAAAAUCUAAAAACCUCUCCAGGUUUCGGCAGCAAAAAAACUCCAGAACAUUUUCCAGUUCCAUUGAGGCAAGGCACGGAUACGGUAUACAGUGAGGUUCAGAGGCCUACAUCAGGGUCGUCUGAAGAAUGCUGAACUGAGUCUCUGGAGAGAAUGAGCUGUUUAUCUCACCAUAAAUAUCUCAGUAGUGUGAACACUAGAACACACUAUUUCCUUCCUGUUCCUCUCUGUACUACAAAACCUCAUGCUGCAAAGAUACAGGAUGCUGGAUAUUACACUUUUAUUUCUUUGCUUAAAGGUGCAGGUACUAGAAUUGUGUUCACAUGCUCUUGUUGAUGUUGUUAUUUUAUUUGCAAUUUCAUUAUUAAAACUGAAGGAAACCUCUUUUGUC